GAGAAUCCCAAGCAGACUCUGCACUAUCAAUGGAGAGCCCAAUGCGAAGCUCCAUCUCACGAAUGUCAGAUCAAGACCUGAGCUGAAAUCAAGAGUCAGAUGCUUAACCAACUGAGCCACCCGGCGCCCUUGGUUUCUCAGUUUUAGACACCAUCCAGUGACAUCCUACCUAGGAUAUGGAGAAGAAGCCCCACUUUCACGCCAUCCCUCAUAUACUCACAUCCUUCCCCAUAUACCCAACACUCUGUUGACAUGAUUUCUUACUGGGUCAGU